GCGCACGUAACUCAGUGGUAGAGUGCCGGUCUGUCUAACCGGAUGCCGAGGGUUCGAUCCCCUUCGUGCGCGCCA
rnacentral:tRNA from 1 species